GUGCUUGUAGCUCAGUGGAUAGAGCAUUUGUUACUUAGCAGAAGGUCGUAGGUUCAAAUCCUACUAGGCACA